rnacentral:rRNA from 1 species
AUUGAACGCUGGCGGCAGGCUUAACACAUGCAAGUCGAGCGGUGGCACAGGGGAGCUUGCUCCCUGGGUGACGAGCGGCGGACGGGUGAGUAAUGUCUGGGAAACUGCCUGAUGGAGGGGGAUAACUACUGGAAACGGUAGCUAAUACCGCAUAACGUCGCAAGACCAAAGAGGGGGACCUUCGGGCCUCUUGCCAUCAGAUGUGCCCAGAUGGGAUUAGCUAGUAGGUGGGGUAAUGGCUCACCUAGGCGACGAUCCCUAGCUGGUCUGAGAGGAUGACCAGCCACACUGGAACUGAGACACGGUCCAGACUCCUACGGGAGGCAGCAGUGGGGAAUAUUGCACAAUGGGCGCAAGCCUGAUGCAGCCAUGCCGCGUGUGUGAAGAAGGCCUUCGGGUUGUAAAGCACUUUCAGCGAGGAGGAAGGUGGUGAGCUUAAUACGUUCAUCAAUUGACGUUACUCGCAGAAGAAGCACCGGCUAACUCCGUG